UGCAGAACACCCUAUGUCAGGGGUCCCAAACAUUUUCUGUAAAUAUUUUAGGUUUUAUGGGCUUCUGUAGCACAUUCGUGUUAUGUUUUUAUUUUUACAAACCUUUACACAUAUAAGAACCCUUCUUAGCUCCCUGGGACCCAUUCUGCAGUGGAAAGUAGCUCAAUCACUGGGGUGAUAAUCUGAAACUGAAAAUCUGAACUAUACCCAAUUCUAUUCUUUUUAAAAGAGGAUUCUCUCCAAUUUCAGUCCAACAAUUCAAGCUAAGUGGCAUAGCUCAAUGCAGGGAACCAAAGAUGACAACUUUAAUUUCCACCUCUAUGAAACAGAGGUGUGCCUUAUGGCUCUAAAUCCCAUAGGCAGACCACAGUAUCUCUUGCCUAUCUCUCAUGCCAGUGCUCAGUAUGCUGACCUAUCCAUUCAGGCAUCUCAGUCAAACUACAGACUAACUGACAGAAAGCAAGACUUGUCUCAUCUCCUCCCAGAGAGGGAAAAUGAGGUCAGACAGUCCUGAAAGCCUGGUUCCCACCAUGCACUUGGCAUAGCCAGACUAGGACAGAACCUCUCGGAGGCUCCUCCGUUCAGCUGCGGUGACGCAGCAUUCUUCCUAAUGCCUCUGCAGUCUGUGCAUCCCUUAGCUUCAAAAGGAUAAACUUCAAAUGGCUAGCCCAGCCUUCACAUAGAUGAAAGGGACAGAAAAUGAUUCUUUUAAGAAAAAAAAUACAAGAUUUUAAAGAACUCCACAACAUACAAAAGGCACACAGAACAAAGAACUAUUUUAACUUUCCAAGGCUGCAUACCUAUACACCAAUCACAUCUGCAAAAGUACCACAGGGUUUGAAAUCAACUGGGUGUGAUCCAUGAAAGGUCUUCAUAAGGAAGAGAGUUACCUUAUGGAGGAUGAACGCACGAACUAGAAAGAAUAAAAUUCCAGACAUAAUUCCAGAAAGCAGUGGGGACACGAACCAAGACAUCACUGGAAUAGAACACAUUAAGAAAAAAUAUCAAAUAAUGAAAAUCAGAGACCAAAAGCUACUUUAAAUGUUUAAGAGUUCAAAAUUCUUUGGUCUGUCCCUCCACAUGCGAACACAUACUCCCAUACCUAAUGCCAUGGUAACGUAUGACAAAAACAAAAAUUAAGACGCCAUUCGAAAAAUUAAACAUACCAAUUUUUAUCAGUUCAGACCACUUGACACCCUUCUGCCCCUGUGCCACGAGGGAGAAACCAAUGGUUGCACCCACAAUACAAUGGGUUCCAGAAAUGGGGAGCUUCAAAAA